rnacentral:rRNA from 1 species
UACAGAGGGGGCAAGCGUUGUUCGGAAUUACUGGGCGUAAAGGGCGCGUAGGCGGCCUGUUAAGUCGAACGUGAAAUCCCCGGGCUCAACCCGGGAACUGCGUCCGAUACUGGCAGGCUUGAAUUCGGGAGAGGGAUGUGGAAUUCCAGGUGUAGCGGUGAAAUGCGUAGAUAUCUGGAGGAACACCGGUGGCGAAGGCGGCAUCCUGGACCGAUAUUGACGCUGAUGCGCGAAAGCCAGGGGAGCAAACAGG